rnacentral:rRNA from 1 species
UACAGAGACUGCAAGCGUUAUUCGGAUUCACUGGGCGUAAAGGGUGCGCAGGCGGUUGGGUGUGUCAGAUGUGAAAUCCCGAGGCUCAACCUCGGAACUGCGUCUGAAACUACUCGACUAGAGUACUGGAGAGGGUAACGGAAUUCACGGUGUAGCAGUGAAAUGCGUAGAUAUCGUGAGGAACACCAGAGGCGAAGGCGGUUACCUGGACAGUUACUGACGCUCAGGCACGAAAGCAUGGGGAGCAA